rnacentral:rRNA from 1 species
UACGGGGGGGGCAAGCGUUGUUCGGAAUUACUGGGCGUAAAGGGCGCGUAGGCGGCCUGCUAAGUCACACGUGAAAUCCCUCGGCUCAACCGGGGAACUGCGUGUGAUACUGGCGGGCUCGAAUUCGGGAGAGGGAUGUGGAAUUCCAGGUGUAGCGGUGAAAUGCGUAGAUAUCUGGAGGAACACCGGUGGCGAAGGCGGCAUCCUGGACCGAGAUUGACGCUGAGGCGCGAAAGCUAGGGUAGCAAAC